UACGGAGGGUGCAAGCGUUAAUCGGAAUUACUGGGCGUAAAGCGUGCGUAGGUGGUUCGUUAAGUCCGUUGUGAAAGCCCCGAGCUCAACUUGGGAAUUGCAGUGGAUACUGGCGAGCUAGAGUGCGGUAGAGGAAGGUGGAAUUCCCGGUGUAGCGGUGAAAUGCGUAGAGAUCGGGAGGAACACCAGUGGCGAAGGCGGCCUUCUGGACCAGCACUGACACUCAAGCACGAAAGCGUGGGUAGCAAACAGG
rnacentral:rRNA from 1 species